GACGAACGCUGGCGGCGUGCUUAACACAUGCAAGUCGAACGGAAAGGCCCUGCUUUUGUGGGGUGCUCGAGUGGCGAACGGGUGAGUAACACGUGAGUAACCUGCCCUUGACUUUGGGAUAACUUCAGGAAACUGGGGCUAAUACCGGAUAGGAGCUCCUGCUGCAUGGUGGGGGUUGGAAAGUUUCGGCGGUUGGGGAUGGACUCGCGGCUUAUCAGCUUGUUGGUGGGGUAGUGGCUUACCAAGGCUUUGACGGGUAGCCGGCCUGAGAGGGUGACCGGCCACAUUGGGACUGAGAUACGGCCCAGACUCCUACGGGAGGCAGGAGUGGGGAAUAUUGCACAAUGGGCGGAAGCCUGAUGCAGCAACGCCGCGUGCGGGAUGACGGCCUUCGGGUUGGAAACCGCUUUCGCCUGUGACGAAGCGUGAGUGACGGUAAUGGGUAAAGAAGCACCGGCUAACUACGUG
rnacentral:rRNA from 1 species